UACGUAGGGGGCUAGCGUUGUCCGGAAUCAUUGGGCGUAAAGAGCGUGUAGGCGGUCCGGUAAGUCCGCUGUGAAAGUCGGGGGCUCAACCCUCAAAUGCCGGUGGAUACUGUCGGGCUAGAGUGCGGAAGAGGCGAGUGGAAUUCCUGGUGUAGCGGUGAAAUGCGCAGAUAUCAGGAGGAACACCUAUUGCGAAGGCAGCUCGCUGGGACGUAACUGACGCUGAGACGCGAAAGCGUGGGGAGCGAACAGG
rnacentral:rRNA from 1 species